GUGAGUCAUCGAAUCUUUGAACGCACAUUGCGCCCGCCAGCAUUCUGGCGGGCAUGCCUGUCCGAGCGUCAUUUCAACCCUCGAGCCCCGGCGGGCUCGGUGUUGGGGACCGGCCCCGGCCGCCCCCCAAAUGCAGUGGCGACCUCGCCGCAGCCUCCCCUGCGCAGUAGCACAACCUCGCACCGGAGCGCGGAGACGGUCACGCCGUGAAACGCCCAACUUCUCAGAGUUGACCUCGGAUCAGGUAGGAAUACCCGCUGAACUUAAGCAUAUCAAUAAGCGGAGGA
rnacentral:misc_RNA from 1 species